GACGAACGCUGGCGGCGCGCUUAACACAUGCAAGUCGAGCGAUGAAAUCUUAACAGAACCCUUCGGGGCGAAGAUAAGACGGAUUAGCGGCGGACGGGUGAGUAACACGUGAGUAACCUGCCUUUUACACAGGGAUAGCCUCGGGAAACCGGGAUUAAAACCUGAUGAAACUAUCAAAUCACAUGAUUAAGAAAGUUAAAACUCCGGUGGUAAAAGAUGGACUCGCGUCCCAUUAGCUAGUUGGUGAAGGUAACGGCCCACCAAGGCAACGAUGGGUAGCCGGCCUGAGAGGGUGAACGGCCACAUUGGAACUGAGAAACGGUCCAAACUCCUACGGGAGGCAGCAGUGGGGAAUAUUGCACAAUGGGGGAAACCCUGAUGCAGCGACGCCGCGUGAGCGAAGAAGGCCUUCGGGUCGUAAAGCUCUUUUAUAUGGGAA
rnacentral:rRNA from 1 species